UUAAGGCUCUUUGAGCUUUUGCUUAAGGAAAUGCUGCCAAAUUUUGCUUUUAGGGGCAUUAAUGUACUUUGUAUGCCUGCUUUCUUUUCUUGCUAAGGCAAGGAAGCACAAGGGCUAGGUUUAGCCUCAAGCAAGUUGAGUGUUGGUGCCAUAGAGCAGUCUUUAUAUUCCUGAGUCCUUGGAUGAAGAGCUAUCCAACAUGAAGGUGAAAUGGAGGAUAGCACCAGAGGGACAAUGCUCUGCAGUAGCUCGGGUUCUUUACACAAACAGCUGCCAGGAGCCAUUGCCUCUCCCCAGACCUGAAGAAGGACUUGUGUGCCUCAAAGCUUGACUGUUU